CGAGAGGACCGGNGUGGACGCAUCACUGGUGUUCGGGUUGUCAUGCCAAUGGCACUGCCCGGUAGCUAAAUGCGGAAGAGAUAAGUGCUGAAAGCAUCUAAGCACGAAACUUGCCCCGACGAUGAGUUCUCCCUGAGACUUUAAGUCUCCUGAAGGAACGUUGAAGACGACGACGUUGAUAGGCCGGGUGUGUAAGCGCAGCGAUGCGUUGAGCUAACCGGUACUAAUGAACCGUGAGGCUUAACCUUACAACGCCGAAG
rnacentral:rRNA from 1 species